ACAAGAAUCACAGGGGUUGGAGAAGUUUUAACUUGUUUGAAGCGCCAGGCUUUUUUUUGGAAAUCCGUACAGGAUAGUUUUAGAUCGUGGAGCUGCAUUCACAACCCACCUGUGAAGGAGUACUGCGAUAGGGAGAAAAUCCAACAUUUGCCGAUUGCAACAGGCGUAACAAAAAGAAACGGACAAGUAGAACGCAUGCACAAAAUUGUUGUUCCAAUGCUCUCCAAAAAGGUGAGAAAUGCUGAUUUCGGAAUUGCUUCACCUAUAUGCGAAAACUUUGAUUGACGUUGCUAGCCUUUGUGGGCGUUACAGUGGGCAUGGCACACUUGGAUAACAAAUUUGCGCUGAGUUAGAAACAACCAGAAGAAGCCGAUUUGUGUAGGUUACGCAAUGAAGUGAAACAAAACAGGGACGUGAUGGAAGCCCCAGCAGGCUGCCAGCCAGUCAACACACUAAUCCAGUGACUCUUGUAGGCAGUCAGCCAAAUAGCGGGACUCAUGACUGAAUGUGAAACUAACAUACCGUCCAAACGAGCUUGUCCCACUUACUGUUUUUGCUGUGGCAGCAGCAUCGGCAUCGUCUUCUGUACCCAAAUUGAGCCUAGCC